GGGGAUUUAGCUUAGUGGUAGAGCGCUUGCCUAGCAAGCGCAAGGCCCUGGGUUCGGUCCCCAGCUCCU
rfam:Rattus norvegicus chromosome 10, whole genome shotgun sequence.